GCCUGGGUGGCUCAGUUGUUGGGCGUCUGCCUUCGGCUCAGGGCGUGAUCCUGGCAUUGUGGGAUCGAGCCCCACAUCAGGCU
rfam:Ailuropoda melanoleuca scaffold1849_30, whole genome shotgun sequence.